UACGGAGGGUGCAAGCGUUAUCCGGAUUCACUGGGUUUAAAGGGCGCGUAGGAGGGCAGGUAAGUCAGUGGUGAAAUCUUCGAGCUUAACUCGGAAACUGCCGUUGAUACUAUCUGUCUUGAAUACCGUGGAGAUGAGCGGAAUAUGUCAUGUAGCGGUGAAAUGCUUAGAUAUGACAUAGAACACCGAUUGCGAAGGCAGCUCGUUACACGAAUAUUGACUCUGAGGCUCGAAAGCGUGGGGAUCGAACCGG
rnacentral:rRNA from 1 species